UGGGAUGGGGUCACUUUGCAUGUCUCUUAUCGCCGCUGUCGCUCACGGAGUGCGUUCUGUUCUGCGCUGUUCGAGUUCUCUCCUCAGCUCAGCAGAGCUCUUCUCACAAAUCGAGCUUCCCAACCCUCCCGCCUGGCUGUCAUACUCAAGUGCACAUGCCAAAGCAGAGGAUGGAUAAAACUUGUUGCCAGUAUUCUGAAAGCCAAUAGAAAGCAGGCCACCUGGAAAUGCCUACUCAGAAUCCUGAAUGCAGAGCAGCACUCAGGAGCUGAACAAUCCAUAGUUCUCCUGUGCUUUGGGAUGGAGAUGCUUCCAACAGAAUGUACCUUGCUGAAAAUAACUUACAGUCUCAAGAAGAAUAUUCUGCCUGCCAUAUGUCCAGCAUGUGGCCGUUUAUUCCUCAACAGCAUUGCUGUUGAGUUUUUCUGGCUAAGGUUUGGUGCACCCUCCACUGGACCACACUGUGUUUCUACCUGUGGUUCUGGCCACUACUGGGUCCAGGACCUGCGGUUUACCCUUGUCUGCAUCUGACCCUGCAGCUCAGCAUUAUAGAAAUGCAAAGCUGUAGUUUGUGUAAAGAAUGAGAGCAUAAUGUAAAACACAGGACUUUAUUCCUUUUGAGCAAUGCACAUCUGAACUGCCAUUAAUGGAUGAGAAUCUUGGUCCAUCCACAGUGGGACAUCAUGGCAUAUUUACAGUCCAGAAUCCAUUACAGCUAAAAUUGCACUAUUUACACUCAUCUGCCAUAAAUCUAAUAUUGUUGUGAUGGCUAUUCCAUUUAAUGUACUCUAGGAAUGCUUUGCAAGCCAGUAUCAAUUAUGUUUGGAAAUAAACUGAUGCUUUGGGUUAAACA
rnacentral:lncRNA from 1 species